rnacentral:rRNA from 1 species
CCCUUUGAUACUCUGGGCGGCACGCGCGCUACACUGGUUUAUAUAACGUGUAAUUUGGACGAUAGUCUGUAUAAAUCACUAAUAUAAAACCGUGAAUGGGAUAGUUUAUUGCAACUUACAAACUUUAACUAGGAAUCCCUUGUAGAAGUAGUGAAUUAUACUGCUUCGAAUACGUCCCUGCCGAUUGUACACACCGCCCGUCGUUUCUUCCGACUGGUACUCAUUGUGAAUUGCGAGGAGAUUCUGUCAAAUCGUUGUAAAUGCUGGGUAUUGGAGGAAGAAAAAGUCGUAACAA